rnacentral:rRNA from 1 species
GACGAACGCUGGCGGCGUGCUUAACACAUGCAAGUCGAGCGGAAAGGCCACUUCGGUGGUACUCGAGCGGCGAACGGGUGAGUAACACGUGAGUAAUCUGCCCUGGACUUUGGGAUAGCCACCGGAAACGGUGAUUAAUACCGGAUACGACGACUCCACGCAUGUGGUGGUUGUGGAAAGUUUUUUCGGUUCAGGAUGUGCUCGCGGCCUAUCAGCUUGAUGGUGGGGUAAUGGCCUACCAUGGCUUCGACGGGUAGCCGGCCUGAGAGGGGGACCGGCCACACUGGGACUGAGACACGGCCCAGACUCCUACGGGAGGCAGCAGUGGGGAAUAUUGGACAAUGGGCGGAAGCCUGAUCCAGCAACGCCGCGUGAGGGAAGACGGCCUUCGGGUUGUAAACCUCUUUCAGUACUGACGAAGCGAAAGUGACGGUAGGUACAGAAGAAGCACCGGCCAACUACGUGCCAGCAGCAGCCGCGGUAA